AGCUCCAAUAGCGUAUAUUAAAGUUGUUGCAGUUAAAAAGCUCGUAGUUGGAUUUGGGACCGGGGCGGGGAGGUCGGCCGCGAGGUCUGUUACUUCCGCGCCUCGUCUUAAUUCUCGAAGACCCGUCGUGUACUUCGCUGUGCGCGGCGUCGGGACUCGAGACGUUUACUUUGAAAAAAUUAGAGUGUUCAAAGCAGGCUUCACUGAGCCAGAAUACAUGAGCAUGGAAUAAUGGAAUAGGACCGCGGUCUUAUUUUGUUGGUUUCUAAAACCGCAGUAAUGAUUAAGAGGGACAAUUGGGGGCGUCCGUAUUUCGUUGUCAGAGGUGAAAUUCUUGGAUUUACGAAAGACGAACAACUGCGAAAGCAUUCGCCAAGAGUGUUUUCAUUAAUCAAGAACG
rnacentral:rRNA from 1 species